rnacentral:rRNA from 1 species
GACGAACGCUGGCGGCGUGGAUUAGGCAUGCAAGUCGAACGGUAGGAUACCUUCGGGUAUCUGAGAGUGGCGAACGGGUGAGUAACACGUAGGUGAUCUACCCUCAAGAUUGGGACAACCCAGGGAAACUUGGGCUAAUACCGGAUGAAAGCAGCAGUGAUGUUGUUUGAAAGGUGGCGUAAGCUGCCGUUUGGGGAUGAGCCUGCGCUCUAUUAGUUAGUUGGCGGGGUAAAGGCCCACCAAGGCGAUGAUAGAUAGGCGGCCUUAACGGGUGGUCGCCCACACUGGGAUUGAGAUACGGCCCAGACUCCUACGGGAGGCAGCAGUCGAGAAUAGUCUACAAUGGCCGAAAGGCUGAUAGUGCGACGCCGCGUGAACGAAGAAGCCCUUCGGGUGUAAAGUUCUUUUAUAUGUGAGCAGUGCUUUCUAUGUGAACAGCAUGGGGAGAGAGAUAUUAGCAUAUGAAUAAGCAACGGCUAACUCCGUGCCAGC